rnacentral:rRNA from 1 species
UACGAAGGGGGCUAGCGUUGCUCGGAAUCACUGGGCGUAAAGCGCACGUAGGCGGCUUCCUAAGUCAGGGGUGAAAUCCCGGAGCUCAACUCCGGAACUGCCUUUGAUACUGGAAAGCUUGAGUUCGAGAGAGGUGAGUGGAACUGCGAGUGUAGAGGUGAAAUUCGUAGAUAUCAAGCAGAACACCUGCGGCGAAGGCGGCCUUCUGGACGAUGACUGACGCUGAGACACGAAAGCGUGGGGAGCAAACAGG